CAAAGAACUGCACAAAAGAAACAAACCACAGCUCUAGAAAUAUAACACCAGUGGAAAAAAAGAAAAAAAAAAAAAAUCUCAAGACAAAAAGUGGCCUAACAAUGCAUACUAGAACUUAAAUAAGAUGUUACCACAUCUCUGUAGCCACCCAUAUCCAGUGUGUAUCCUGGAAAGACAUAUGACUGACCAAAGAGAGGAGAGACCAUGAAAAGAGUCAGUCAUGGAUUUUUAAUUUGAUGUACUUUUUGUAUGGAAAGGAAUACAAAGAUGAAUGCAAAUAAAAAUA